rnacentral:rRNA from 1 species
AACGAACGCUGGCGGCAUGCUUAACACAUGCAAGUCGAACGGUCUAUAAGGGCUUGCUCUUAUAGAUAGUGGCAAACGGGUGAGUAACGCGUGGGAAUGUACCCCUUGGUUCGGAAUAACGGCUGGAAACGGUCGCUAAUACUGGAUAAGUCCGAAAGGAGAAAGAUUUAUCGCCGAGGGAACGGCCCGCGUUAGAUUAGGUAGUUGGUGAGGUAAAAGCUCACCAAGCCGAUGAUCUAUAGCUGGUCUGAGAGGAUGAUCAGCCACACUGGGACUG